CCUACGGGAGGCAGCAGUGGGGGAUAUUGCACAAUGGAGGAAACUCUGAUGCAGCGACGCCGCGUGAGGGAAGACGGUCUUCGGAUUGUAAACUUCUAUCAGCAGGGAAGAAAAUGACGGUACCUGACUAAGAAGCCCCGGCUAACUACGUGCCAGCAGCCGCGGUAAUACGUAGGGGGCAAGCGUUAUCCGGAUUUACUGGGUGUAAAGGGAGCGUAGGCGGUUUAGCAAGUCAGAAGUGAAAGCCCGGGGCUCAACUCCGGGACUGCUUUUGAAACUGUUGAACUAGAUUGCAGGAGAGGUAAGUGGAAUUCCUAGUGUAGCGGUGAAAUGCGUAGAUAUUAGGAGGAACACCAGUGGCGAAGGCGGCUUACUGGACUGUAAAUGACGCUGAGGCUCGAAAGCGUGGGGAGCAAACAGGAUUAGAUACCCGAGUAGUC
rnacentral:rRNA from 1 species